ensembl:snoRNA Small nucleolar RNA ZL1
ACACACACACACAUGUGUGUGUGUGUGUACACACACAUGUGUGUGUGUACACACACAUGUGUGUGUACACACACACAUUAUGUGUACACACACACAUGUGUGUGUACACAUGUGUGUGUGUGUGUGUACACACACACAUAUGUGUGUGUACACACACACACAUAAUACACACACUGUGUGUACACACACACUGUGUGUG